rnacentral:rRNA from 1 species
AACACGGGGAAACUCACCACCUCCCGACACAAGGAGGAUCGACAGAUUGAGUGCUUUUUGUUGAUUUGGUGGGUGGUGGAGCACGGCUGUUAUUAGUUGGAGGAGUGAUUUGUCCGAAUAAUUGCGAUAACGAACGCGACCUUAACCUGCUAACUAGCCCGUAUUGCUUUGGCAGUACGCUGGCUUCUUAGAGGGACUAUCGGCUCAAGCCGAUGGAAGUUUGAGGCAAUAACAGGUCUGUGAUGCCCUUAGAUGUUCUGGGCCGCACGCGCGCUACACUGACGGAGCCAGCGAGUACUCCCUUGGCCGAAAGGCCUGGGUAAUCUUGUUAAACUCCGUCGUGCUGGGGAUAGUCCAUUGCAAUUAUUGGACUUCAACGAGGAAUCCCUAGUAAGCGCAAGUCAUCAGCUUGCGUUGAUUACGUCCCUGCCCUUUGUACACACCGCCCGUCGCUACUACCGAUUGAAUGGCUCUAGUGAGGCGUCCGGACUGGCCCAGAG